rnacentral:rRNA from 1 species
UACGGGGGGGGCGAGCGUUGUCCGGAUUUACUGGGCGUAAAGCGCGUGUAGGCGGCGAUUUAAGUCCGGGGUGAAAGGCGGGGGCUCAACCCCCGAGCGGCAACGGAAACUGGAUCGCUUGAGUGUCGGAGAGGGGAGUGGAAUUCUCGGUGUAGCGGUGAAAUGCGUAGAGAUCGAGAGGAACACCCGUGGCGAAGGCGGCUCCCUGGCCGAACACUGACGCUGAGACGCGAAAGCGCGGGGAGCGAACGGGAUUAGAUACCCCGGUAGUCCGCGCCGUAAACGAUGGUCACUAGGUGUACGCGGUAUCGACCCCGCGUGUGCCGCAGCUAACGCAAUAAGUGACCCGCCUGGGGAGUACGGCCGCAAGGUUGAA